rnacentral:rRNA from 1 species
CGCGGCCUAUCAGCUUGUUGGUGAGGUAAUGGCUCACCAAGGCGACGACGGGUAGCCGGCCUGAGAGGGCGACCGGCCACACUGGGACUGAGACACGGCCCAGACUCCUACGGGAGGCAGCAGUGGGGAAUAUUGCACAAUGGGCGAAAGCCUGAUGCAGCGACGCCGCGUGAGGGAUGACGGCCUUCGGGUUGUAAACCUCUUUCAGCAGGGAAGAAGCGAAAGUGACGGUACCUGCAGAAGAAGCGCCGGCUAACUACGUGCCAGCAGCCGCGGUAAUACGUAGGGCGCAAGCGUUGUCCGGAAUUAUUGGGCGUAAAGAGCUCGUAGGCGGCUUGUCACGUCGGGUGUGAAAGCCCGGGGCUUAACCCCGGGUCUGCAUUCGAUACGGGCUAGCUAGAGUGUGGUAGGGGAGAUCGGAAUUCCUGGUGUAGCGGUGAAAUGCGCAGAUAUCAGGAGGAACACCGGUGGCGAAGGCGGAUCUCUGGGCCAUUACUGACGCUGAGGAGCGAAAGCGUGGGGAGCGAACAGGAUUAGAUACCCUGGUAGUCCACGCCGUAAACGGUGGGAACUAGGUGUUGGCGACAUUCCACGUCGUCGGUGCCGCAGCUAACGCAUUAAGUUCCCCGCCUGGGGAG